GGGUGGUGGUGCAUGGCCG
rnacentral:ncRNA from 2 species